UACGUGGGGUGCAAGCGUUAUCCGGAAUUAUUGGGCGUAAAGAGCUCGUAGGCGGUUUGUCGCGUCUGCUGUGAAAACUGGAGGCUCAACCUCCAGCCUGCAGUGGGUACGGGCAGACUAGAGUGCGGUAGGGGAGAUUGGAAUUCCUGGUGUAGCGGUGGAAUGCGCAGAUAUCAGGAGGAACACCGAUGGCGAAGGCAGAUCUCUGGGCCGUAACUGACGCUGAGGCGCGGAAGCGUGGGAGCAAACAGG
rnacentral:rRNA from 1 species